rnacentral:tRNA from 1 species
GGAGUAGCUCAGUUGGUAGAGCGCCACGUUGCCAACGUGAUGGCCGCGGGUUCGAUCCCCGUCUCC